UGGGGAAUUUUGGACAAUGGGGGAAACCCUGAUACAGCCAUCCCGCGUGUGCGAUGAAGGCCUUCGGGUUGUAAAGCACUUUUGGCAGGAAAGAAACGUCAUGGGUUAAUACCCCGUGAAACUGACGGUACCUGCAGAAUAAGCACCGGCUAACUACGUGCCAGCAGCCGCGGUAAUACGUAGGGUGCAAGCGUUAAUCGGAAUUACUGGGCGUAAAGCGUGCGCAGGCGGUUCGGAAAGAAAGAUGUGAAAUCCCAGAGCUCAACUUUGGAACUGCAUUUUUAACUACCGGGAUAGAGUGUGUCAGAGGGAGGUGAAAUUCCGCGUGUAGCAGUGAAAUGCGUAGAUAUGCGGGGGAACACCGAUGGCGAAGGCAGCCUCCUGGGAUAACACUGACGCUCAUGCACGAAAGCGUGGGGAGCAAACAGG
rnacentral:rRNA from 1 species